UACGGGGGGGGCAAGCGUUGUUCGGAAUUACUGGGCGUAAAGGGCUCGUAGGUGGCCAACUAAGUCAGACGUGAAAUCCCUCGGCUUAACCGGGGAACUGCGUCUGAUACUGGAUGGCUUGAGUUUGGGAGAGGGACGCGGAAUUCCAGGUGUAGCGGUGAAAUGCGUAGAUAUCUGGAGGAACACCGGUGGCGAAGGCGGCGUCCUGGGCCGAUACUGACGCUGAGGAGCGAAAGCGUGGGUAGCAAACAGG
rnacentral:rRNA from 1 species